rnacentral:rRNA from 1 species
CUGCGUACCUUUUGUAUAAUGGGUCAGCGACUUAUAUUCUGUAGCAAGGUUAACCGUAUAGGGGAGCCGAAGGGAAACCGAGUCUUAACUGGGCGUUAAGUUGCAGGGUAUAGACCCGAAACCCGGUGAUCUAGCCAUGGGCAGGUUGAAGGUUGGGUAACACUAACUGGAGGACCGAACCGACUAAUGUUGAAAAAUUAGCGGAUGACUUGUGGCUGGGGGUGAAAGGCCAAUCAAACCGGGAGAUAGCUGGUUCUCCCCGAAAGCUAUUUAGGUAGCGCCUCGUGAACUCAUCUUCGGGGGUAGAGCACUGUUUCGGCUAGGGGGUCAUCCCGACUUACCAACCCGAUGCAAACUGCGAAUACCGAAGAAUGUUAUCACGGGAGACACACGGCGGGUGCUAACGUCCGUCGUGAAGAGGGAAACAACCCAGACCGCCAGCUAAGGUCCCAAAGUCACAGUUAAGUGGGAAACGAUGUGGGAAGGCUCAGACAGCCAGGAUGUUGGCUUAGAAGCAGCCAUCAUUUAAAGAAAGCGUAAUAGCUCACUGGUCGAGUCGGCCUGCGCGGAAGAUGUAACGGGGCUAAACUGUGCACCGAAGCUGCGGCAGCGACGCUUAUGCGUUGUUGGGUAGGGGAGCGUUCUGUAAGCCUGCGAAGGUGUCCUGUGAGGGAUGCUGGAGGUAUCAGAAGUGCGAAUGCUGACAUAAGUAACGAUAA